UUAACACAUACAAGUCGAACGAUGAAGCCUUUCGGGGUGGAUUAGUGGCGAACGGGUGAGUAACACGUGGGCAAUCUGCCCUUCACUCUGGGACAAGCCCUGGAAACGGGGUCUAAUACCGGAUAUCACUCUGUCCCGCAUGGGACGUGGUUAAAAGCUCCGGCGGUGAAGGAUGAGCCCGCGGCCUAUCAGCUUGUUGGUGGGGUAAUGGCUUACCAAGGCGACGACGGGUAGCCGGCCUGAGAGGGCGACCGGCCACACUGGGACUGAGACACGGCCCAGACUCCUACGGGAGGCAGCAGUGGGGAAUAUUGCACAAUGGGCGAAAGCCUGAUGCAGCGACGCCGCGUGAGGGAUGACGGCCUUCGGGUUGUAAACCUCUUUCAGCAGGGAAGAAGCGAAAGGAC
rnacentral:rRNA from 1 species